rnacentral:rRNA from 1 species
UACGGGGGGGGCAAGCGUUGUUCGGAAUUACUGGGCGUAAAGGGCUCGUAGGCGGCCAACUAAGUCGGAUGUGAAAUCCCCAGGCUCAACUUGGGAACUGCAUCCGAUACUGGAUGGCUUGAAUUCGGGAGAGGGAUGCAGAAUUCCAGGUGUAGCGGUGAAAUGCGUAGAUAUCGCUUGGAACGCCAAAGGUGAAGACAGGUCGCUGGGGGUGUGCCGACGCUGAGACGCGAAAGCCAGGGGAGCAAACGGG